rnacentral:lncRNA from 1 species
CGGGUCGUGAUGAACGGGCAGUCCACAGCGCCUAACCUACCCGUUAACACAUCUUCAUACUGAUCCAAUACCAUCGAAUACCGCUGAAGCAGAUUCAACGAUGAGAUUUUUAAAUGAAUCAGAUGAGAUACUUGCAUCGUAUAUGGUUUUAUGCAUCACACACGAUAACCAACGUCGAAAUGAUCACUGUCACGACGUACGACCAUCCAUAUCCCGGAUCCACAGUCAUUUCCUGAUAAAAGAGGAUGAGGUUCGAUGUAGAUGAUCUACUCUCACAAUAGAGAAAUGAUUUAGUGGUGCUGUCACCUGUCGUAGCCAUAGCUUCCUAGACAAGCUAAAACAACGCCAGGGGUUUUUACAUCCGGAGGAUCAAUGCAGUGCAAGGGGCGCCAUGGCACGAUGAUGUCAUCCUUAAGCUAUGUUUUGGUAGUCCUAAUCGUUGUUGGCUUUCACGGACAAGUGCACUAUGCAUUCGGUUCCGAUUCUUCACAGGACGACGCAGCUGUCCUAUUAAACCAUCAGACGGAUAGCAAUACGUUCAACGAAGACAUAUCGGCGGCUCCAGGAUGGCUUUCUCACUCCAAGGUUGCCAGCCUGGAGGCGUUACAACCUUCCAACGAGGGCACAUCUGCGGGGGAUCGGAUCGUAAAAUCGCGCGAUGCUGGUGAGGGAAAAACACUUUUCAUAUUUUUAAGCGCUUUUGAAAGAGGAUAUAAUCGUGUGACGGUUGCAGCGACGGCGGCUGCCAGUCCUUACACGGAACGCGGUAGGGCUCUUCGAUUGAUCAACCUGCUGCAACCUACACCCAGUUUCAGGGAACCCUUUGUACUUACCUAACAGGAGCUCCAAAAAUCUCAGUCAUUGUACGUUGAAAUGCUUAUUAUCACUAUCAGAAAUGCUUCGUGAAAUGGAAUGAUUCAAAACGCAGUUUCCGCCAUCGAGACUAAUAAGGUAUCCCCUCGUUUAUCUCAGAGCUCGCCUCCAUUUCCAGCCUGGCAUGUAAUACACUACUAUAUAAUUACUUACUGAUACGCGGACGAGUAAGCAAUGGUAGAGUAUGGGUUGAGUUUACAGCUGAUCUGAUAGGAUUGCCGCGCCGCGCGCGUGAUUAAGGCACCUCAUAUUAAAUGGAUUGAAGCCGAUUAUAAUGCUUACCUGCUGAGC